rnacentral:rRNA from 1 species
AUUGAACGCUGGCGGCAGGCCUAACACAUGCAAGUCGAGCGGAUGAAGGGAGCUUGCUCCUGGAUUCAGCGGCGGACGGGUGAGUAAUGCCUAGGAAUCUGCCUGGUAGUGGGGGAUAACGUCCGGAAACGGGCGCUAAUACCGCAUACGUCCUGAGGGGGAAAGUGGGGGGUCUUCGGACCUCACGCUAUCAGAUGAGCCUAGGUCGGAUUAGCUAGUUGGUGGGGUAAAGGCCUACCAAGGCGACGAUCCGUAACUGGUCUGAGAGGAUGAUCAGUCACACUGGAACUGAGACACGGUCCAGACUCCUACGGGAGGCAGCAGUGGGGAAUAUUGGACAAUGGGCGAAAGCCUGAUCCAGCCAUGCCGCGUGUGUGAAGAAGGUCUUCGGAUUGUAAAGCACUUUAAGUUGGGAGGAAGGGCAGUAAGUUAAUACCUUGCUGUUUUGACGUUACCAACAGAAUAAGCACCGGCUAACUUCGUG